rnacentral:tRNA from 1 species
GCCUCAUUGGCUCAAGAAUACAAACAGAAGUCUGUCUUGCAAACAGAAGGUCCCUGGUUCGAUUCCAGCAUGAUGCA